AGCGAACGCUGGCGGCAGGCUUAACACAUACCAGUCGAACGGCAGGGCAGUACGUGUUUGGGGUGCCGGAUGGGCAAACGGGGAAGGAACAGGUGAAUAACCGGCUCUACAUUUUGGGAGGGCUUAACGUAGCGAGGGCUACUAUCGGACCGGAGCUGCCCCUCGGGGGAGGGGGGUGGAACGUUGCAGCGGGCGGGGAUGGACUAGCGGAUUAUGAACUAGUUGGUGGGGUAGUGGCUUGCCGAGGCUUUGGCGGGUAGCCGGCCGGUGAGGGUGACCGGCCACAUUGGGACUGAGAUACGGCGCAGACUCCUACGGGAGGCAACAGUGGGGAAUAUUGUACAGUGAGAGGAAGCCUGAUGCAGCAACGCCGCGUGCGGGAUGACGGCCUUCGGGUUGUGAACCGCUUCCGCCUGUGACGAAGCGUGAGUGACGGUAAUGGGUAAAGAAGCACCGGCUAACUACGUG
rnacentral:rRNA from 1 species